UACAGAGGGUGCAAGCGUUGUCCGGAAUCACUGGGCGUAAAGGGCGCGUAGGCGGCCUGGUAAGUAGGAGGUGAAAUCCUGGGGCUUAACCUCAGGGCUGCCUUCUAGACUGUCCGGCUCGAGCACAGUAGAGGCAGGUGGAAUUCCCGGUGUAGCGGUGGAAUGCGUAGAGAUCGGGAAGAACAUCGGUGGCGAAGGCGGCCUGCUGGGCUGUUGCUGACGCUGAGGCGCGACAGCGUGGGGAGCAAACAGG
rnacentral:rRNA from 1 species